GACGAACGCUGGCGGCGUGCUUAACACAUGCAAGUCGAACGGAAAGGCCUGCUUUCCCUUGUGGAUUGCGGGUACUCGAGUGGCGAACGGGUGAGUAACACGUGAGUGAUCUGCCCCCAACUUGGGUAUAAGCCUGGGAAACUGGGUCUAAUUCCCGAUAGGACUGCAGGGUGGUGCCUGUGGUGGAAAACGAUUUUCUAGUGGUUGGGGAUGAGCUCGCGGCCUAUCAGCUUGUUGGUGGGGUAAUGGCCUACCAAGGCGGCGACGGGUAGCCGGCCUGAGAGGGUGGACGGCCACAUUGGGACUGAGAUACGGCCCAGACUCCUACGGGAGGCAGCAGUGGGGAAUAUUGCACAAUGGGCGGAAGCCGGAUGCAGCGACGCCGCGUGGGGGAUGACGGCCUUCGGGUUGUAAACUCCUUUCGACCGCGAGGAAGCCACCUGGUUGGAAGGGUGGUGACGGUAGUGGUAGAAGAAGCACCGGCUAACUACGU
rnacentral:rRNA from 1 species